UGAAGUUCUUAAGAAUGCAAUGAAUACCAUAAGCCAUCUCCACAGAAAAACACAAAUACAUAUAACAUUAAGCCUAUUAACUUCAGAGCACUUUAUGGGCCUCCUGAGGCCCAACCAAAGAGCUCUAGUUGUCAGCUCCUAGGUCCCUAAGUAACCCAAGCUGCAGACACUUCAUGACAGAUAAAGCCUGCAGUUACAGGACACUUACAAGAUAUGACUUUUUUCAGACAGUGCAGAUAAGAUGUAUAUAUGCAUUGGCCUGAAAAAAAUAAAAAUAACUUAAUUACUGAGUAAAAUUUGAGUCAUUUAUCCAAGACCAAAAGCAGAAGGGCCUAUGAUGGUAAUACUACCUCCACAACAAAACAGCUCUGAGAGGCUGAUUCUUCAAGAUCACAGAGCUAAUAAAUCCCAGAUUGUCCACAUCCCCAUUCAGUGCCUUUUAACUAUACCAUGCCACCUUAAGUACAUUACACUGAAUAGGAAACCGUUUUCAAAAUAAAAAUCUCCACCAACCUUCCAAGAAUGACUGUAAUCAGGUCUCUUAUUUAUUUAAUCCAAUCAUUCCAUUUUUACCACCUAAAUGCUGACAAAUUAAGGAAUAUAGAUAGAUAGAUAGAUAGAUAGAUAGAUAGAUAGAUAGAUAGGCUUUUGAAAACCAAUGUACUUCUCUAAUGCGGUUAAUUUGUAUAAGAAAACUCUAAAACAGCAAAACAAAUAAAAAUAUGUAACUUUAUAGCAUAAACUUGAUCAUAGACAAAAAUACAAAUAAAAGGGGGAUCUGAUGCCAAAAACUACAUGAAAUUUCUCUGCUUUGGUCACUGGUAUUGGAAGAGUAUGGCAGGCAGGGCCCAAGCAUCUUUUUAUCUGAUGUCCACUUGACAAUGGACAAAAGCAGUGAGGCCUGGCGGCACAGCAGGAGUUAGAGUACUUAAAGAGCUACACUAACUCAAAUGUGGCUACAACUCAAAUGCUAAACUGUGUGCCUCAGUUUUUCCACUGAAAAUGUAAUACAUUAUCUGCCCAUCUCUUGUCUUUAGAGAGGCAGUACUGUCUAUUGGUUAAGAAUACAGUCUCUAACUGGUUCAAAUUUUGGCUUUACCACCUACCAACUCUGGCAAGUUAAUCUCCUUGUGCCUCAGUUUGUUCAACUACAAAAUGUAGUUAACAACAGUACCUAUCUCACAGUUUUGCUGUUUAGAAAAAUCUUACAGAGCCUGGUAAGUAAUAAGCAUUCCAUAAACAACAGCUAGUAUUACCAUUAUUGUAAAUGAAUGAAAAGAUUCACCAACUUACUAUACUUCUAUCAUGGAGGAAAUUACAGGCCCUAAUUUUUUUAUUUUUUAAUCAUGUGACUUAACUACUUUUUUAAAAUAUAGUAAGUACACAGCCAAUUAUUCCUGCAAAAAAUUUACUGUAUACCCUGCCACCUAAAACUUAUACAUUCAUCAAGUUUUAGUUAACUUUUCAUCAGAAUAUAAGUGAACUUGCCCAACCAGCCAUAAGCAGCUUGCAUCCAGCCACUUCUGCUUCACAGUCAUCACCAUAUGCCUUAACACCAUUAUUCUUACCUUGACUAUCACAAUGGCCUCCCAACUGCUCUUCCCCUCCAUUCCACUCUUCAGGCUGUAGAAGGGAGAUCUUUUAAAAACCUAAAUCUAAUUUCACUCCCCUGGUUAAAAACCUGCAGUGGUACCCGACUGUCCUAAAGAAGUCCAAUCUCCUAAUGAGAACUGACAGGCCUGCAAGAUCUAGGGCCAUCCUUCCUCUCUGGAUACUCAGACUACACAGGCCUUCUUUCAAACCAGGCCUCAGAGCCUUCACAUAUCAUGCUCCCCUAUCUGGCAUAAUUCUCUCUCCCCAGUACACCUCGGAUCUCAGCUAAAAGGGAUGAGCCUCUGACACCCCAAACAGAAUCAGGUCCUGGUUAUUACAUGCUUUCAUAACUCUGAUCCUUACACUCUUCUCUGUAGCACAAAAUGAAACUGCAAUAAGAUAAUUAUGUAAAUGGCUGUUUAAUACUGUCCUUGUCCAAAAAAACAGAAACCCCUAGUAAGAUUUGGAACCAAGUCUAUCGUUUACUGCUAAAACCAAAGUGCUUACUUGCCCAGUAUCUCAUACAUUGUAGGUGUGCUCAAUAUACCUGCCUAGUCGAAAAAGUGAUGAGAUCCAUGAUAGGGAAAAGCAAAUCAUCCACAAAACAAGACUAAAGCAGAACAUUAGCUGCACUGGAUUAAAUAUGUAAGUUAACAUAGGCAUUACACUGAAGAGUAAAAACCUACUGCUUAAACAUGGGCAAAAUAAAGUUAAGACUAAACUUGCCAAUGCAAAAUUAAGUUUCUUUGUGCAUCCUCAGGUGUUAUGUGAAACAGGAGGAGUUCAACUUCAGUUACCAGUAAGAAGAUACACAACUAAAUCAAGACUGCUGCCACAUUUGGCACCAACCUCCUCUCUUCUUGGCAGUAACUGCGAGGCCAAGAGUUGAGUUGGCCAGGGAAGAGUGAUUUAUCCUCCCACAUUUAGAAGUGGUCCCUCUACAACAGGAAUGCUGUAAUGCUAAUGGACUUUGAAUUCUAACCUUGUCAAAUCAGUACCUUACCUAAGUAUUCAGUCACUUUUUUAAAAAACAACUUUAAAUGGCAUCGAAUUAAACAAAGUUGCUUUUUCAAAAAAAAAAAAAAGAAAGAAAGAAAAGAAAAGAAGGCAAGCUUUUACACACACAAAAAGUCAUUACUUAGAAAAUUAGAAGAAAAUGAUAGGGGGAUGAUAAGACGCUAAAGGCUGAGAGCAGUCGAUGGAAGAUGGAGGUCGCCCAGCAUAGUAUAAUAACUACCACCAAGGCCUGGUGAGCAGCAGCUCCCAACCUAGAGCCGACAAUCCCAGGAGCAGGCAGGUUUGACAACGCCAGACCCCCGAUGUCCGGUUCGUCGCGCUGACCCUGCCAAUGCAACAAACGCCCCAGACCCUCUCUGCACUGUGAUGAGCAGAGUGGCCCGCUCUCGUUCUGCCCUUCCCUGGAAAUGCGCGCAAGAGAGGAGGUGGCAAAAACCACGUCCACCGGAGGGCUCAGAGAGAGAAUGCUAAUGAGCUGUGAAAUGACCAAAGAUCUGGCAGCAGAAGGGAAAAGAAAAAAUAACGGACAGUGUCUUGUCACCCAGACUGGAAUGCAGUGGCAUGAUCUUGGCUCACUGCAACCUCUGCCUCUUGGGUUCAAGUGAUUCUCCUGCCUCGGCCUCUGGAAUAACUGGGAUUAUAGGCAUACAUCACCAUGCCUGGCUAAUUUUUGCAUUUUUAGUAGAGAUGGGGUUUCAUCAUGUUGGCCAAGCUGGUCUCUAACUCCUGACCUCAGGAGAUUCCCCCAUCCCCACCUCUGCCUACCAAAGUGCUGGGAUUACAGGCACAGGAUAGAAACAGACUUUGAAAAUAGGUCUGUUUGACUUGACUCUGUCUCAGAAACAAAACAAAAAACAAACUAAAAAACCUGUGCUCCUUACUGUGUUGUCCUGCCUCUCAGUGCAAGAUAAACAGAGUGGGCCAUAUAACCUAUGAUGUCAUCAUUGGCAAGGCCUGUUGCUACCGUGUGAUGCCUGCUCCCCAGAUGACCUCUUUUGUGGUGAAGCUAGAGGAAAUCUGGCAGCAAGCUGGUUGAGGGGCAGAGUGAGAAUGUCUGGGCUUCCCCCACCCAGCUGGGUAUGUGAGUGAUGCAAAUCAUCUCAUCGAAGGCUUAGCCACAGCCAGGAGACUUCUCCAGUGACGAUGAGCGUUGUACAAAUGAAGUGCAGGCGCGGGGGAGAUUUCACACACCUCCAGCCCUUCCUGCUUCUCGAAAUACUCAUAUCCUCUGGCAGAAACCAGCUACAGAAAUCCAUGUCCACUUACUCACAGCCUGAAAGAAACCCACACAGUGGACCUUCCUGCCAGUUGCAUGAUAAUUAGAGUUACUAUUGAGUUUCUACUGUGCAUCUUCUCAGUUAGGCACAAUUACCAAAUGUAAGAAAUGAGGAAAUUAAGACUCAGGAAUUAGAUGAAUUGCCCAAGGUUAUUACAUAGCUUACAACUGGCCAGCCAGGAUUUAAACCUUGGUCUAUAUCCUAAUCCAAGACCAUGUUCCUCUCACUACUCAGGUUUGUGUCUUUGGCUUGGGAAUAUUACAAAGUCAUUAUUUCUCCAGAUUACAUUUUUGCUGCUGUUAUAUGACCAUCUCAUUUCUUGUCACUGACUUUUCCCAAAAGCAAGAACAUGGUAUGGAAUUUUGGGGGAAGCAAUUGAAAUGAAGUGUUUGAAUUUCAGAGCUUGCAUUACUGGAUUAUGUGUGGAUUAUUAUUUCUCUGUACUGUCUCUUUCUUCUUCCUGCUACCUCAUAUAAGUACUUGAUAGGCCAUUAUUACGGUCUUUUUAGGGGUGCUUCAACAUAGUUCACUUGUAGAAAAGUGUUGUUUGAAAUUGUAACAGGCAGACAUUUGGGUUCUUGUAGCCUUGCAAGAAAUGGAAGGAAGUAACUUUUGGGCUUAUGAAAAUGUGUACUGCAAAGGUUUUUUUUCCUUUCUUCUUCUUUUCUUUUCUCUUUUUUUAAGAGACAGGAUCUUGCUCUGUCACCCAGGCUGUAGCGCAGAGCAAUCAUAGCUCACUGCAAGGGUCCUUCUGCCUCAGCCUCCCAAGUAGCUAGGACUACAGGCAUAGUCACCAUGCCUGGCUAACUUUUCUUAUUUUUUAUUUUAUGUAGAGACAGGAUCUUGCUGUGUUGCCCAGCCUGGUGUCAAACUCCUGGCUUCAAGGGAUCUCCCCACCUUGGUCCCCCAAAAUGCUGGGAUUAUAGGCAAGAGCCAUCAUGCCCAGCGGUUUUCUUAAAGUUCUCUGCAAGGUAUAGUUUCACAAGUAAGAUGAUUAGUCAGUACAGUAGCAAUAUUAGGUAAAUUGCUACAAGCCAUUUCAAGCUUGUAGCAAAUUAUCCAUUCUUAUAUGACAAAGCCUAUGGAACAAUUAGAGGACUUGAACUGUCUCUCUUCCGUGCCGGUAAAAAAGGGACUGAAGCUUCAUAAAUCGAGUCCUUCACUCUCCUAGCUCUGAUCCUCUCCUUCCUAUAAGUAAUGGUCAUGUUGCCUUCAGUAGGUGGUUGUCAAGCCUGUAUUUUGUUUUGUUUUGUUUUAGAGACGGUCUUGCUUUGCUGCCCAGGCUGGACUUGAACUCCUGGGCUCACUCUAUCCUCCUGCCUCAGCCUCCUGAGUAGCUGGGACUAUAGGCACUGCUAUGGAAACUGACUUGUCAAGCCUUUUAAUACCAUCUCAUCACUGUAAUUAUCAACAAAUGUGCUCUAAAAAUCUUUUACACAGCAGCAUAAAGGGCUUGAGCCAUGUCUGUAUUAAAACACAGGUGAUUUCCUUAUCCUUUGAUGCUGAAAUGUUGAAAGAGUUGAUUAGCUGUCCUUGCUAUCUCUAGAAAGGAUAGCUAAUAACUGUUUUGCAUUUGUUUUUAUGUAUAUAUAUACACAAAGGCAAAAGCAAGACAGUAUUUGAAAUUUGAAAACAUUGAUUCUUGUAACCAUUCUAUUUCAGGAUUAAAUCACAUAACCCACCAAUCUCUGUCAACCCACUCUCCAGUAACCACCCCACCUCCAAUUUCCUGUAAAUAGCAAACACUCCAUCAUCUAUAGGGAAUAUUGUUGAGUUGCCAGAGUAGUAACUGUAUUUUCUUAUUUAUUUUACUUGAGAAGGUUUUUUGUUUGUUUAUUUUGAGAUUGGUAUGUGUGGGGGUUGGGGGGGGUCUCACUAUGUUGCCCAGGCUGGAUUUGAACCUCUGGGCUGAAACCUUUUGCCUCAGCCUCUUGAGUCACUGAAACUACAGAUGCGUCACCAUGCCUGGCUACUUGAGAAGUUUUACAACAAUUUUUACGCUUUCAAAGCAGAAAAAGAAAACAAUCUAGAAUUUGUCUCUGUCAUAAUGUCAUCCAUAAAAAGUGAUUUGAAGUUGAAGACUUCUAGAGAGAUACAAGCUGCUGGAUUUAGCAUUCAGCCCUCACUUUCAUUCAAUAUAGUUGUCAUUUUAGACCCAAGCUUUCCCCAGAGAUAGUGAUUCCAGCAGGGGAAGAAAUAUGUGAAGUUAUUGCAAGAAAGUUUUUGUGUGAAAUUGUGACUGCUGCCAGAGAUAUCAUAUGUUUUAGUUAACUUUCUUCCCAGGAACCAAGAAAAUUUCCCAAGCCACAGAUAAAUACAGCUGGACUGCUAUACAGAAGUCAGUAGCAUGGGGCUGAAGAGAGAGACUGAAUUUUACACACUUAAUUUGUUUCUGGUUGAGAUAAAGCCUCUAUUCUAUUUUGCUUAAGGUAAAAAUCCAAUUCACUUUGAAAGAUACAAAGCCUUAUGCCAUUGGAAAAAAAUGAUAAAGAUUUCUGUCACUGCAAUUACAAUUUAUACCAUAAUAAAUUUACCUAAGGAUGUGAUGGCCUCUGCUGGAUUCCUUCCAGAGUUCUCUAAGGAAUAAAAGCAUGCAACUGACAGUCUCUAGGACAUUCUGGUUCUGCGUCUUCCUUCUCAUCCCAUCAGCUUUGGAAAACUGUCUACCCCCAUGCCGUUGAUUAGCAACUCUGCAUGUAUGCAGUGCAACAGUAAUUAAUGUUCCCCAUGCUGACUCUCAGGAGCUACAAUACCAUGAAGUGCCCUUCAGAAUUAUCAAGGAGAAAUUAAAUUAUGCUCAAUACAGUUUUAGAGCAGUUUCUCUCAUGAUUUAAAGCACCUCUCCCGGGAGGGGCUGGAGGUGGCUCCUUCUGGCUUGUGCAAGCAGAUUAUUAAAAUGGUAAGGAAUUUUGCAAGCCAGAUGUUAAACCUUUCAAAUUGGGCCAUGGCGGGAGUACGUGCAUCACAGAAAUUGGAACUGCUAAAAAUAAAGGCUCCCUAUCAGCACCAUUGUCUAUAUCUUUGCAACUGCAUAAUUCAAUUAAUAGCUGUUAGCUAGAACAGCAUAUCUCACUCUUGCUGGGCAGUUAUUUACUGAUGAGUCUUGCUAGGCUGAAAAGCCAGUUCAUACCUGGAUUAGUUUCCUCUGCCUACUGUAACAGAUCACCAUGGACUUGGUAACGUAAAGCAAUCUAAACGUAUUCUUGCCUAGUUCUGGAGGCCAGAAGUCUGAAUCACUGGGCUGAAAUCCAGGUGUUGGCAAGGAUGAGCUCCCUCCAGAGGCUCUGGGAGAGAAGCUGCUCAUUGCUUUUUCAAGCUUCUGGUAGCUGCUGGCAUUUCUUGGCUUGUGACUUUGUCGCUAGAAUCUUCAAGGGAAGCAUCUUCAAAUGUCUGUCUUUGCUAUUUUCACCUUGCCUGUGUGUGUGUGGUGUGAAAUCUUCCUCUGUCUUAUCACUCGUGAUUGCAUUUUUUAAGGUCCACCCAAAUAAUCCAAGACAAUCUCCCCAUUUUAAGUGUUUUAACUUACUCUCAUCUACAAAGCACCCCCCUGCCUUUUUUUUUUUUUUUUUUUCCAAUAAAGAUAACUUUUACAGGUUCCAGGAAAAUAAGCUGCUAUCUUCGGGAGGGCCAUUUUUCAGCCUACCAUGAUACCCACCUUAGCAGCUCGCCCU